CUUUCACUUUCACUUUGAUCUUGUUAUGUAUAUGCAUAUGAUCAAUUUAUUAAAGAGGAAGGCAAAGCUUUAAUGAUUUUUGCAUUUAUACAUUUUCCCCUUUUUGCCCUUUUACGACGCGAUUUUCCCCUCCUGACGGGCCCUGGCCCCAUUCCCCUAAAAGUGAAAAAAAAACACUGUCAUGUAUAACAGUUUAUAUCAUUAUGUUUUGACAGUAUGAAAUGAAGAAAAACACUCAUCAAACUCAUCAUAAUUCGUCAGCUUUUAUUUUUUGUGUACAUAACUCAUAUUUUAGAUAUAUAUAAUUAUCUGACCCGGAAUCCCAAUCGGAAUAGCUACCCACUUUUGGUACAAAAAAUUGUAUGUGAAGGAUAUGCCAUUUCAAAAUUUGUAAAAAGAUCAGUUAAGUUACUAUUAUUUGGACUAGUGCUUCAAGUGUUUGAUUUAUUGUCUCUAUAAUGUAUAAUGCACCUGUCAAUUGUAGAGCCAAGCUGGGAGCUGCCUAAAAAUCAGUUACCCAGUUAGCUCAGUUUGACAGAUCUCCAUGCAAGUGUUCACAUGGUCGUGGGUUCAAGCACCAUACCAGUAGCAUCUUUUCUCAAAGGUUUACUUUAGAACCCAUCAUCCAGGAGUAAACAAUUAUGAUUUUUUUAUUAAAUAUUACAGGCCAUGUUCUUUUGUAAACUUUCAGAUUGAGAAGUGCCUGGAUACAAGGCUAGUAUUGUUAACAUCAUCUGAUACAAUCAACUGGAACAAAGCUGAAAUGGCUGCCUGACCUGACUUAAAAAUUGGAUGGCAGUACAUCAGACUAGAAGAUUACAAGUAUUGAGGUGGACAAAAUAAAACCUGAGCCUACCAAAGCUGACAGAUUGCACAAGAAACACAUAAAUGCAGAUUGGAAGAUUCAUUCUCUGGAAAGUAGAAAAGGGCAUGUUACAUACUGUUAUCACUGCCAUGACAGAAACCAUAUUGAGGAGCUGGUCCACCUGUAGGAAGAAUUGCGCUAUUGGUUGGAGUGGCACUAUUACCAAGCCAUACACCAGCACUUAGUUUGUCAUAGGGAGCAUUUCUGAGCAGUUAUGGAGACCACUAACUAUGCAGUUGUUGCAGUGAAACUUGCACCAGUGUGUUUUCUGUGGAGAUAAAGAGAUAGUGUCCAGCAAUGAAGACCCAACUCAAGAUCUGACCUUGUAAGGCCAAUAUGAAAUAACUGUAUGGGAAAAUGGGAAAAACCUGCAGUCAGGAAUGUACGGAAAUCAUCAAAAGAGCAGUGUUAAAUUAAUCUUGAAUAACUUGACAUUUAUUUUGUUUGACAUAUUUAUUCAUGGUGCAGUGGAAACAUUCUUUUUUUCUCAUGGUUAUUUAAAUUUAGAAUUGAUAGGAGGGAACAUCACUAUGUAGUUUUAUGUUCAUAGUCAGAUCAAAACCCAUGUACAUGCCCAAAUGAGCAUUCGAAAAUAUCAAAAUGGUACUUGUUGUAUGUAGUGUAAGUUAAUUAACAUAAUAAACAAAAAUAUUUAAUCAAUUUCAAUUUAUUAUGCCCCUUUCAAAGAAGAGGAGUAUAUUGCUUUGCACAUGUUGGCCGCUACGUCCGUCUGUCUGACAGUAGACCAAAGCU